UAGCAAGUGUUUCAUUAAUCCUUUCGCAAUUAUGUCCAUUUUAUGACAUAUGCCGCAACUAUAUGGUUAAGCACCACUUGAUUUUGAGAUUGCAGGAUCUCAGGGGCAUGACUGAAUCUGCUGGUAUGCGUCCAGUCAUCCUCAUCAAUCCUAGGCUUAAGACCUGCAUUCAGUGUUUUAGCAGAGUCUGCAACAAAUGUUUUGCCUCUUUCUAAUGAGCAUGGCUCUUUUUCUCCAGGAUUUACCAAGUUCCAGUGGUAUCAUGCAAGUAAGUACAAUGUUAAUAUGGGGAAACAAAAUGGAUAUAGAUUUGAACUGAUUCUCUUUAUCUUGAAACUUGUUUUGAAGACUAUGGGACAAAACAAGAGACUGGAGUAUGCUGCAUCAUUUGAGAAUUGCUAUUUCUUCCGGCUUCUCUAUUAUGCAGGAACUCAAUACCCAAUUAUGGCCGUGCAGAAGUACUGUUUGAGCACAAUGAAUGAUUGAAUUUGCAUGCAAUAAAACUAGAAUCAAUCAAGAUUUGGCCUUUUGGGGUGGCCCGUCCUUACCACCAGAGGUCUUCCCUUUUCUGCUUUCUCCAUCCCCUUGCCUAGCUGAAGAAAAAGGACAACGCAGAAGAAUUGCUAGGCUUUCUCAGAAUGAAAGUUGCGUGUGGAAGUAUGCAUUUCCUUCUGGAUGCAUGAAAAGGAUGUCCUACCCCUAUCAGCCCACGUACCUGUCCAACCCUCAAGCGCUGAACGGUCACUUCCACGCCUCCCACCUCCCCUGGGACACCACAGCUGACCUUGCCUCCUC